UACGUAGGGUGCGAGCGUUAAUCGGAAUUACUGGGCGUAAAGCGUGCGCAGGCGGUCUGUUAAGACCGAUGUGAAAUCCCCGGGCUUAACCUGGGAACUGCAUUGGUGACUGGCGGGCUUUGAGUGUGGCAGAGGGAGGUAGAAUUCCACGUGUAGCAGUGAAAUGCGUAGAGAUGUGGAGGAAUACCGAUGGCGAAGGCAGCCUCCUGGGCCAACACUGACGCUCAUGCACGAAAGCGUGGGGAGCAAACAGG
rnacentral:rRNA from 1 species